rnacentral:rRNA from 1 species
CAGCAGCCACGGUAAUACAGAGGGUGCGAGCGUUAAUCGGAUUUACUGGGCGUAAAGCGUGCGUAGGCGGCUAAUUGAGUCGGAUGUGAAAUCCCCGAGCUUAACUUGGGAAUUGCAUUCGAUACUGGUUAGCUAGAGUGUGGGAGAGGAUGGUAGAAUUCCAGGUGUAGCGGUGAAAUGCGUAGAGAUCUGGAGGAAUACCGAUGGCGAAGGCAGCCAUCUGGCCUAACACUGACGCUGAGGUACGAAAGCAUGGGGAGCAAACAGGAUUAGAUACCCCAGUAGUCCCUGUCUCUUAUAA